rnacentral:rRNA from 1 species
GAUGAACGCUGGCGGCGUGCUUAACACAUGCAAGUCGAACGAUGAAGCCCAGCUUGCUGGGUGGAUUAGUGGCGAACGGGUGAGUAACACGUGAGUAACCUGCCCUUAACUCUGGGAUAAGCCUGGGAAACUGGGUCUAAUACCGGAUAGGAGCGUCCACCGCAUGGUGGGUGUUGGAAAGAUUUAUCGGUUUUGGAUGGACUCGCGGCCUAUCAGCUUGUUGGUGAGGUAAUGGCUCACCAAGGCGACGACGGGUAGCCGGCCUGAGAGGGUGACCGGCCACACUGGGACUGAGACACGGCCCAGACUCCUACGGGAGGCAGCAGUGGGGAAUAUUGCACAAUGGGCGCAGGCCUGAUGCAGCGACGCCGCGUGAGGGAUGACGGCCUUCGGGUUGUAAACCUCUUUCAGUAGGGAAGAAGCGAAAGUGACGGUACCUGCAGAAGAAGCACCGGCUAACUACGUG